CCUACGGUGGGCAGCAGUGGGGAAUAUUGCACAAUGGGGGAAACCCUGAUGCAGCGACGCCGCGUGAGUGAAGAAGUAUUUCGGUAUGUAAAGCUCUAUCAGCAGGGAAGAAAUACUGACCUUACGGUCAGCAGACGGUACCUGACUAAGAAGCCACGGCUAACUACGUGCCAGCAGCCGCGGUAAUACGUAGGGGGCAAGCGUUAUCCGGAUUUACUGGGUGCAAAGGGAGCGUAGACGGCAGCGCAAGUCUGAAGUGAAAUCACAUGGCUUAACCAUGGAACUGCUUUGGAAACUGUGCAGCUGGAGUGCAGGAGAGGUAAGCGGAAUUCCUAGUGUAGCGGUGAAAUGCGUAGAUAUUAGGAGGAACACCAGUGGCGAAGGCGGCUUACUGGACUGUAACUGACGUUGAGGCUCGAAAGCGUGGGGAGCAAACAGGAUUAGAUACCCUGGUAGUC
rnacentral:rRNA from 1 species